ACCGUUUUUCAAAUACGGUAACGUCAAUAAUACCAUACUCCAAACCCAUUUGAAAAGGUUUACAUACGUAUCGAUUUAUUUCAGUCAAUAUUUCAUUUUGGGUUUUUUUCGCAUAUAAAUUUUCGAUUUACCACUGGGCGCGAUCAGCCCGUAUUGCCGUAUAACCACGCCCUAAUAGUCUCAGUAUCGUGUUGAAAUAAGCUGUUGUUAUUGGCUGGUCUAAAGAUAUUCAGUUUUUUUUAAACAGGUACCUUAUCGUUGAAACGACCAGUCGGACAUGGUGUCUGAGUGGGUUACAACGAUCAGAAGCGGCGUAAAUAGGUGUAAUUGCUUCAUGAUCAAAUCAGGUGGGAGGAUGGG